rnacentral:misc_RNA from 1 species
GAUGAAGAACGUAGCGAAAUGCGAUACGUAGUGUGAAUUGCAGAAUUCCGCGAAUCAUCGAGUCUUUGAACGCAAGUUGCGCCCCCUGGUAUUCCGGGGGGCAUGCCUGUUCGAGCGUCAUUACAACCCUCAAGCUCUGCUUGGUAUUGGGCCCCGCCAGUUCUGGCGGGCCCUAAAGUCAGUGGCGGUGCCUUCCGGCUCCGAGCGUAGUAAUUCUUCUCGCUCUGGAGACCCGGUUGUGUGCUUGCCAACAACCCCCAAUUUUUUAAGGUUGACCUCGGAUCAGGUAGGGAUACCCGCUGAACUUAAGCAUAUCAAUAAGCGGAGGA